rnacentral:rRNA from 1 species
UACAGAGGUCUCAAGCGUUGUUCGGAUUCAUUGGGCGUAAAGGGUGCGUAGGCGGCGCGGUAAGUCGGGUGUGAAAUCUCGGGGCUUAACUCCGAAACUGCAUUCGAUACUGCCGUGCUUGAGGACUGGAGAGGAGACUGGAAUUUACGGUGUAGCGGUGAAAUGCGUAGAUAUCGUAAGGAAGACCAGUGGCGAAGACGGGUCUCUGGACAGUUCCUGACGCUGAGGCACGAAGGCCAGGGGAGCAAACGGG